GCAGCAAUACCAUCUUUGCUCCAGUCCUCUUGCCACACUCAAGGAAGUCUACACAAACUGAGUGAAGAGCCACUAGUUCCUCCUCCGCUUCCCCCUCGGAAAAAGUUUGAUCACGAUGCUCCGAACUCCAAGGGAGCUAUGAAAUCGGAUGAUGACCCUCCUGCUAUUCCACCAAGACAACCCCCUCCUCCAAAGGUAAAGCCAAGAGCUCCUGUCCUCACGGGUACAUUUGAAGGGCCUGUGCCCAGUCCACCUCCACCUCCUCCCAGAGACCCUCUUCCUGAUACUCCUCCACCAGUUCCUCUUCGGCCUCCGGAACACUUUAUAAACUGUCCGUUUAAUCUCCAGCCGCCUCCGCUGGGACAUCCUCACAGAGACCCAGACUGGCUCAGAGACGUUAGCACAUGCCCUAAUUCACCAAGCACUCCUCCCCCUACGCCCUCGCCACGGAUUCCACGCAGAUGCCAUUUGCCCAGCCCCAGUCACAACAAUCUUGCUCACCCUCCAGCUCCUCCCGUUCCACCAAGGCAGAAUUCAAGCCCUCACCUACCAAAACUGCCACCAAAGACUUACAAGCGGGAGCUUUCACACCCGCCAUUGUACAGACUACCUUUGUUUGAAAAUGCAGAAACUCCUCAGUGACCUUGGCCACGUGUAGUCAUUGACACUGGAUUAGUAUUUGUAAAGGUUUUUAAUUUAUUCAAAAAAGACAUAGUAUUUUAGUACUUUUUACAGAAAUGCUACUGAUCAAAUAAGCUUUUAAGAACUAGUAAAAUUGUCAGAUGGCAGUGGUGCACACCUCCAAUUCCAGCACUCGGAAGGCAGAGGCAGGUGGGUUUCAGGGUUUGAGAGCAACCUGGUCUAUAGAGCAAGUUCCAGGACAGCCAGGGCUACACAGAAAAACCUUGUCUCAAAAAGUCAAAACCAAAAC
rnacentral:lncRNA from 1 species